rnacentral:tRNA from 1 species
GGCUCGGUAGCAGAGCAUCCGCUUGGCGUGCGGAAGUUCCCGGGUUCAAUUCCAGGCAUCUCCA